rnacentral:lncRNA from 1 species
UUUUUUUAAAAUGAAGCUUGUCGCAUGCAGCAUAAAACAUAGUUUCAACAAUUAUUUUUUUCGUCUUUAUUUUAAAAAUCGUUAUUUUUUCGAAUACGUACAAUAGCAAUGAAUAUGAUAUCACACAAUUAUAUAUUUUGGACUUGCAUCUUGCCAACUACACCGAAUUUCCAAUGAGGUACGAACAUCGCGCGUAACGUCUU